rnacentral:rRNA from 1 species
GGCCCUACGGGGGGCAGCAGUGAGGAAUAUUGGUCAAUGGGAGAGAUCCUGAACCAGCCAAGCCGCGUGAGGGAAGACGGCCCUAUGGGUUGUAAACCUCUUUUGUCGGAGAACAAAACCCGGGACGUGUCCCGGACUGCGUGUAUCCGAAGAAAAAGCAUCGGCUAACUCCGUGCCAGCAGCCGCGGUAAUACGGAGGAUGCGAGCGUUAUCCGGAUUUAUUGGGUUUAAAGGGUGCAUAGGCGGGCUUUUAAGUCAGCGGGAAAAAUUUGGGGCUCAAACCCGUCCGGUCGGUGGAACUUGGG